UUUCCUGGGUGCCUCCACAGACUCCCUCAUAAUCCCAACUCGGGGGUCACUGCCCCUUGAAAACUGUCGGUAUUUAGUAGGUCCUUCAGGGACUUCUCCCAAGCUACACAGACCCCUCCCGUAACUUGACACAAAAACCCCUCAGGUUUCUCCCCCUUUGAUCCCGUGGUCUUCAGGCUACAGACUCUCCCCACCUACAACCCUGGGACCCUUCGCGGCGGCUCCGGACCAGCGAGGCCAGCGCCCGCCUCCUUCCCUUCCCCUCCCCGCUCAGCGGACCGCCGCAAUCUCGGGCAGCGGGUGGGCUCUCUCUCUCUCGGUCCCCCGCUGCCUCCCAGCCUCCCCUGUCCCCGUCUCCGGCCUGGCCACCUCCACAAGGCAGACCUAGGGGCAGCCCCAGGGUCCGCGGAGCCCGAGGGUCUCAAUCUCUGGCCUCCCCCCAAUUCGUCCCUUGAAAAGUAGCAAACUUGCCUCGACCCGCGGUCACUCACGCCCCAGAGAAGCAAUGACCUCGGUGCCAGCCCGGGAUCCCAGCUCCAAGCCCCACGUGGACAGUUCUAACAACCGCCACCUCCCAACGGACCCUCUCUCCCCCACCCCCAGCCACAGCAACGGCGGCCACGGCAGCCCCCCCACCCCAGAGCCCAACCGCCAAGCGCCGGCUAACCGAGCCCGGAAUACUUAGACCUGCGCAGCCGGACCCGGCCAGAUCGGGGGCGGGGCUUCAGCAGCACAGGGCCCUGAACGGGCCGGACCGGGAAGGGGAGGAGCCAGAAAAGAGCUGGCCAGGGCAGGGAUCAGUAAAAGGGGCGCUGGCUGCAGGCUCUGGAGUUGUUCCAAGUGAAGCUCGAAGCCGCGGAACGGGCAAGUAAAUGUCGCAUUUCCAGCAAGGAGAGCUAGCAAAGGCGUGGGGAGGAGAUUAUAAGCAUCCACCCCGUGCCAGGCAGUGCUGAGCGUUUUUGUUUGUUUUUAACGUAGAUCAUUUCAAUCAGUCAGCAUUUAUUUAGUCCUCCUGUGUUGCAGGCAAAUACCCUCACCACCAGAUAGGUGUUGCUGUUAAUCCCAUUUAGGAAUGGGACACGCAGGAAUUAAGAUAGUUGCCCAGAGUCACACAGCUAUUAAGUGUCUUAGGUCAGAUUUGAAUUUAGCUUUUCCGGACCCCCGGUCCAGCACUUUAUUCCGAAUCUUCCCCACCGCCCCCAAGGUACAAGAGUCAGUGGGUCUGGUUUAAAGGGGUGUCUGGGGAUAAGAGCAAAGAGUAGAAGUGAGGAACUUAACACAUGAAAUCAAAUGGGAAAGUCCGGGGUCAAGAAGUAGGGGGGAAAGAUUGAAGGCUGUAGUAAGGGACGGAUAAUGUAUUGAUUAGCAAUCAAAUUUAUAAGUCAAUUGCAUUUUUAACAAUAAUAUUAAUAGGAAGCAUUUAUGUAUCUCUUUAAGUAUUGUGUUAAAUUAAUGCAGAAAUAUCUUAAUAUAGGAUAUAAAACUGACUCCUUCAUUUUGGUCAUCUAAUAUUUAUAAAGCACCUACUGUGCCCAGUUCUGUGCUUAAUUCUGGGGUAGAUUCAAACUUUAGAUAAGCUGCUGGGUCCCGUGCCAUUAUGGGGUUUACGAUCCUGUAGAAUUAUCCAAAUUCAUAUAAUUCUAACAGUAUUACACAAGUAAUGUAAGUGUUAGACAAUGCAGCAGAUAUUUGAGUCAGGGCAUGGGAACCUUCCAGUUAUAUAAAAGAAUUAGGGUAGGAGAGUGAAAUCAUUUAGUGAUGGAGGAGCUGAAUAAAGCUAUGAGGAAGGCUGAUCAGUAGAAAUUACAGUUUAUUUGAAGAAAGGAAUAGAAUAGUGGGCAGCACAAAGAGAAAACUUCCCAAAGUACAUGUAAUAAAACUUAGAUUCAAUCAGCCAACAAAUAUCAAAUGCUUUGCUUAGUAGGUGAAUUCGGGAGAUACAAAGAAAUGGAAAAAACACAGCCCUACCCCGAAAAAGGACAAUGGGGGACACAAUAUGCAAAUGUCUAUGUUUACCAGAUAGGAAACUUGCAAAUGAGAAGAUAGUUUUAGGGAGGAGGCUUCUAGCAGAAAGUGGAAUUGGUACAGUCUAGGAAAAAGCCAGAAAAGCCAAGAGGCAAGGAGAGGAGGACGAACAUUCCAGGAACGAGGGACAGCCUCUGAAAAGACUGGAGAGUCUUGUGAAAGCAUAAACUCUCUGUUGGGAGAAAACCUAAGGCUUUUACCUUUCCAUCAGGACUACAGUACUGGAGAUACCAAGCAGCAGACAUCCAACAGCUGAAGAUCAUAUGGGGAUUUGUGGGAGGCGCUGAGCAUGUGGAAAGUACAGCAACCGAGGCCCUAAAAAGUGACCUGUGUGACUUAGCCCAUUGAUGGUAACAGAUAAAGAUUUAACCAUCAGUUAUCCCACUUAUGGAAGUAAUAAAAAGUCACUGAAGUAUGAAUUCCUUUGUUGUUGAUGUUGGACCAUGACAUCAGGGAGGUAAUGCCAUGGUGCAAAUGGACUGGAUUUAAGUGAGGGAGGGCUGGGCGAGCACCCCGGCCUUUUUUCUCUGGAGUCAUUUAGGUCCAGUGGUAAGACAUAGAACAGGACAACAGGAGGUGGCUUUUUAAAGCUAAGGUCUUUAACAGAUCUCCAUUUGACAGAGACUGUGCCCAACCAAUGAUUAAGGGUAGAUAAGAAAUAAGGCAGAGAAUGGCCUCUUACCUAGUCAAAAUAUUUACAAUAUACAUCAGUAUGGGAGGGAAGACCUGCAGGGUUUCUGUCCAAAAGAAAAAUAAUUGCUGUUUUACAUUUACUAUGAGACAAUCUGGGCCCAAAGGAUGACCAAGUAGGACUAGGUCUGGGACCUACUGCAGUCAAUUAAUGAGAGCCUUUGUGAUAUGAGUUUAAGUCUAAGCCCAUACAUUCCAAGAAAUCUUGUAACAUUUCAGCAAUCAAAAUGUAUAUUCCUUUGGGUAGACCAUCUGUAGGUAAGGGUAUAAUACUUUCUGUGAACAGAAGAAAGGGAAGAGAAAGAAGGAAAAAAGGGGAAAGGAAGAGGGGGAAGGAGAAAGGAGAAAAUAGCAAGGGGAAAGAGGAAGAAAGAGCUGUGUUGUUUAGAUGGCUAGUUCCAGUUGGGUCCCCAGAGGGACAGCCCCUGCUCCUACUCACAGGGUUAUUUUCCCUUCAUUCCAGAAGAGGACCAUGACAUCAGGGAGGUGAUACCAUAAUAUGCCAGAUCUCUAUCCAUUACUCCAUUCUGCCAGUGUUGAUGCAUGCCAGCUGCUGUUGCCUGUGGUUUUGCAUAGGGAGCCUGGCUACCACAAAGAAUCUGUAAGUAGUUUCCUCUAUUCAUUGUAUGGGACACUAAGUGUUUUUUCUUCUCAAAGCUAGGUAAUUCUAUAUUUUCUCAAAAGAUCUUGUGCUCAAUUGAUCAAGUUCUGGGGUAGAAAGUUCUUUUUGCCUCUAUGACCACAGAGGACUUUGUAUUGAAAGUUAAACUUCAAGAAAAUCCAGCUGAAUAUGUCUUCAGGGAUGAAGACAUCCCUGAAGACAUAUGAGACCAGUUAUACUGAUUUAACUUCACUUUCUCUCCCACAAAUAUUGAGCCUAUUAUAAACGAUAGUAAAGUAGUUGUGGGUAGAUUGGCAAAAUAACAAAUGUUAAGUGCAUCUGUUGUUGCUUGUUCUUUGGUCUGGAAGAGUACUAUCAGGGAAGGUGAGUUGGAUUUAAGUGAGGGAGACUUCAUAGCUGUGGUAGGAAAUAUUCUGAUGGGACUCCAAUCUAACCUACAGAAGCAGCAGCAGCAGCAGCAUAGCCAACAUAUAUAAAGCAAAGCUUCUAAAAUGGAAGAUCACAACCCUAUACAGGGUUGUGUAACUGAAUGUGGGGGUCAUGAAAUUAUGAUUCCAUGUUUGAAUCAGAAUGUCUUUGAUUUGUAUAACUAUUUUAUAUACGUGGAGUCACAUAAAAUUUCUUGGGCAAAAAGGGGUCACUAGUGGAAA